GAUGAACGCUGGCGGCGUGCCUAAUACAUGCAAGUCGAACGGAGGAUGUAGCAAUACUUCCUUAGUGGCGAACGGGUGAGUAACGCGUUGGUGGCCUGCCCCAAAGUGAGGGAUAACAGCCCGAAAGGGUUGCUAAUACCCCAUGUGGUCUUCGGGAUUAGAUGCCUGAUGACUAAAGGAGUAAUCCGCUUUGGGAGGGGCCUGCGUGCCAUCAGCUAGUUGGUAGGGUAAUGGCUUACCAAGGCUAAGACGGCUAGGGGACCUGAGAGGGUGGCCCCCCACAAUGGAACUGAAACACGGUCCAUACACCUACGGGUGGCAG
rnacentral:rRNA from 1 species